rnacentral:tRNA from 1 species
GAAGGUUUAAAUACCUCCCUGCUAAGGAGGUUAAGAGGAUAGUAUCCUCAGCUUUCU